rnacentral:rRNA from 1 species
GUGUCAGCCGCCGCGGUAACACGGAGGGUGCGAGCGUUGUUCGGAAUUACUGGGCGUAAAGGGCGCGUAGGCGGCCUGUCGCGUCUGAUGUGAAAGCCCGGGGCUCAACCCCGGAAGGGCAUCGGAAACGGGCAGGCUUGAGUCCGGAAGAGGAGGGCAGAAUUCCCGGUGUAGGGGUGAAAUCCGUAGAUAUCGGGAGGAAAACCAGUGGCGAAGGCGGCCCUCUGGGACGAGACUGACGCUGAGGCGCGAAAGCGUGGGGAGCAAACAGGAUUAGAGACCCUGGUAGUCCACGCCGUAAACGAUGGGUGCUUGGUGUGGGGGUCGUAUCGGACCUCCGUGCCGGAGCUAACGCGGUAAGCACCCCGCCUGGGGAGUACGGUCGCAAGACUAAAACUCAAAUGAAUUGACGGGG